rnacentral:rRNA from 1 species
AGCAGGCGCGGAAAUUGCCCGAAUCCUGACACAGGGAGGUAGUGACAAGAAUAACGAUUCAGCUACAUUAGGUCUGCAGUAGAUGAGUCAGUUACAUCUCUACGAUGAUCAUGAGGGCAGGUCUGUGCAGCAGCCGCGUAAUCAGCUCAUAGCGUAUAUUAAAGUUGUUGCAGUAGACGCUCGUAGUCGGAUUUCGGGGCGUUCCGACCGGUCUGCCGAUGGGUAUGCACUGGCCCGGAGUGUCCUUUUUGCCGGAGACCGUGCCUACUCUUAACUGAGCGGGGGCGGGAGACGGCACUUUUACUUUGAAAAUAUCAGAGUGUUUCAAGCAGGCAGCUCGCUCUUGCAUGGAUUAGCAUGGGAUAAUGAAAUAGGACUUUGGUGCUAUUUUGUUGGUUUCGAACACCGAAGUAAUGAUGAGAAGGGACAGUCAGGGGCACUCGUAUUCCGCAGAGAGAGGUGAAAUUCUCAGACCCGCGGAAGACGAACCACUGCGAAAGCAUUUGCCAGGGAUGUUUUCACUGAUCAGGAACGAAAGUUAGGGGAUCGAAGACGAUCAGAUACCGUCGUAGUCUUAACCAUAAACCAUGCCGACUAGGGAUUGGAGGAUGUUCACUGAUUGACUCCUUCAGCACCUUACGGGAAACUAAAGUCUUUGGGUUCCGGGGGGAGUAUGGUCGCAAGGCUGAACUUAAAGGAAUUGACGGAAGGGCACCACCAGGUGUGGAGCCUGCGGCUUAAUUUGACUCAACACGGGGAAACUUACCAGGUCCAGACAUUGUGAGGAUUGACAGAUUGAGAGCUCUUUCAUGAUUUAAUGGGUGGUGGUGCAUGGCCGUUCUUAGUUGGUGGAGUGAUUUGUCUGGUUAAUUCCGUUAACGAACGAGACCUUAGCCUGCUAAAUAGUGACGCGAACUCUUUGUUGGCGGGUCCACUUCUUAGAGGGACAACUUGUCUUCAACAAGUGGGAAGUUUGAGGCAAUAACAGGUCUGUGAUGCCCUUUAGAUGUUCUGGGGCCGCACGCGCGCUACACUGAUGCACUCAACGAGUCUCCACUUGACGGACAGGUCGGGAAACCUCGACCUGCAUCGGUGAAUGGGGAUGAAUAUGGCAACUAUAAUCCUACCAACGAAGAUACCCUUAGUUAGCGCGCAUGGUUUCCAUCUCAACCGUGUGCGCCGU